rnacentral:rRNA from 1 species
GAUGAACGCUGGCGGCGUGCCUAAUACAUGCAAGUAGAACGCUGAAGGAAGGAGCUUGCUCUUUCCGGAUGAGUUGCGAACGGGUGAGUAACGCGUAGGUAACCUGCCUGGUAGCGGGGGAUAACUAUUGGAAACGAUAGCUAAUACCGCAUAACAGUAGAUGUUGCAUGACAACUAUUUGAAAGGGGCAAUUGCUCCACUACCAGAUGGACCUGCGUUGUAUUAGCUAGUUGGUGAGGUAACGGCUCACCAAGGCGACGAUACAUAGCCGACCUGAGAGGGUGGGCGGCCAGACUGGGACGGAGACCCGGCCCAGAGUCCUACGGGAGGCAGCAGUAGGGAAUCUUCGGCAAUGGACGGAAGUCUGACCGAGCAACGCCGCGUGAGUGAAGAAGGGUUUCGGAUCGUAAAGCUCUGUUGUAAGAGAAGAACGAGUGUGAGAGUGGAAAGUUCACACUGUGACGGUAUCUUACCAGAAAGGGACGGCUAACUACGUG